rnacentral:rRNA from 1 species
AUGCUGAUUGGAGCAGCAGAAAUUGGUGGGAUGAUGGAUAGCAGCAAGAGAAAAGGUGUCAUGCCAUCCUGUGGCGAUGCUGCCAAGAUUACAGCAGAGGUGUUCCCAAGCAACAAGAGGAAGAAGGCCGUUGUAUCUCUCUGUACACUGUUGCUUCCUGAUGCCAUGAUGUUGGAGGUGCUACUUCGGCUCCCUAUCAAAUCCAUUCUCCGCUUCCGGGCUGUCUGCCGCUCUUGGGCUGCACUCUUCUCCUCCAAGGAUUUCUGCAGCCUACGCAUGGCCAUCUCUAAGGAGCUGCCACAAGCACCAAAGCUACUCAUGCUUGUCUCGCCCACAACAGGACUGAACUCCACCGCAAUGUACUCAUGCUCGCCGUCAGGCUCCAGAGACGAUUUACUCUUCACCGUCGACACCGCACGCCGCAAUUCCAUGGGAAUAGUGACGCCCUCUCCAUGCCAUGGACUCACCCUUCUAUAUGAUGAUGCCGCGCCAGCUUACUAUGUUUGCAAUGCAGCCACACGGGCAAUCACACGUCUGCCGCCUCACUGUACUCCACCAACAUAUCGUUCCACUGCCGGACUUGGAUUUGAUGCCCGGACUAGGGAGUACAAGGUGGUGAGGUUGAUCACUGGGCGUUGCGGUGACAAGGAGAGGAACAAGUGUGAAGUGUACACGCCUGGAGCUGCUUGCUGGAGGCCGGCGGCCGGUGGAGGAGUGCCUUUCAGGUUGUACAGGUAUGCAAUUUCUGCAGCUAUACAUGGGGCGACGCAGAAAGUACCACCGGUGUUUGCCAACGGAUUACUACACUGGUUCAUCGGUCCUUCCCUUAUCGCCACAAGGACAAGAGCUCCCAUCUUAACAUUUUCCUUGACGGACGAGACCUUCGGAUGUGUCCGAUCACCCCCACCCUUCUGGACAUCAGAAGUGCACCUGCACUACGGGUCAGAAAAAGAACACCUGGUUGUGAUGGAUGACCACCUGUGCAUGGUCCGUGACCUUCGCAAUACAAUCCCUCGUGAUGGCACUUUGGAGAUCUGGAAACUGCUGGAUUAUAGCCCUGGUGAAUGGUCACUCUAUCAUCGAAUUCAUUUGUUCGGCCACGUGGGAAUAUAUUUGCUUGAUGUGAUGGCUGUGAGGGUUGUUGGACUCAUUGGCGGCUGUAGGUCAGGGAAGAAGAUAGCCAUUGCUUCUAGCAAAGACAAGUUCGCCGGCCAGUUUGAGCAGAAGCUUCACACCUAUGACCCUAGGUGUCAAGCUCUAGAGACCAUCCUCUCCAUCACCGAGACACAAACACAUACCAGGCCUGCUUCAACAUUCAGUUUAUUUGAUGAAGAGAGCCUUGUUCAAGUGCAUAGUAAACCAAUGGAUAGCUAG